rnacentral:rRNA from 1 species
GGAGGCUUUGAAGUGUGGACGCCAGUCUGCAUGGAGCCGACCUUGAAAUACCACCCUUUAAUGUUUGAUGUUCUAACGUGGACCCGUGAUCCGGGUUGCGGACAGUGUCUGGUGGGUAGUUUGACUGGGGCGGUCUCCUCCUAAAGAGUAACGGAGGAGCACGAAGGUUGGCUAAUCCUGGUCGGACAUCAGGAGGUUAGUGCAAUGGCAUAAGCCAGCUUGACUGCGAGCGUGACGGCGCGAGCAGGUGCGAAAGCAGGUCAUAGUGAUCCGGUGGUUCUGAAUGGAAGGGCCAUCGCUCAACGGAUAAAAGGUACUCCGGGGAUAACAGGCUGAUACCGCCCAAGAGUUCAUAUCGACGGCGGUGUUUGGCACCUCGAUGUCGGCUCAUCACAUCCUGGGGCUGAAGUAGGUCCCAAGGGUAUGGCUGUUCGCCAUUUAAAGUGGUACGCGAGCUGGGUUUAGAACGUCGUGAGACAGUUCGGUCCCUAUCUGCCGUGGGCGCUGGAGAACUGAGGGGGGCUGCUCCUAGUACGAGAGGACCGGAGUGGACGCAUCACUGGUGUUCGGGUUGUCAUGCCAAUGGCACUGCCCGGUAGCUAAAUGCGGAAGAGAUAAGUGCUGAA